GACGAACGCUGGCGGCGUGCUUAACACAUGCAAGUCGAACGGAAAGGCCUCGCUUGGGGGGGACUCGAGUGGCGAACGGGUGAGUAACACGUGUGAAUCCUCCCCGUGACUCUGGGAUAACUCCAGGAAACUGUGGCUAAAACCGGAUAGGAGCGCCUGCUGCAUGGGGGGGGGUUGGAAGAUUCGGCGGUUGGGGGUGGGCUCGCGGGUUUUCAGAGUGUGUGGGGGGGAGUGUCGUACCAAGGCGUUGUCGGGUAUCCCGCCUGGGAGGGUGACCGGCCACAUUUGGGCUGAGGUUAGGCCCCGACUCCUACGGGAGGCAGCCGUGGGGAAUAUUGCCCCAUGGGUGGGAGGCUGGUGCAGCAACGCCGUGUGCGGGAUGGCGGGCUUCGGGUUGUGAACCGGUUUCGCUCAUGAAGAAGCUUUGUGUGACGGUAGUGGGUAAAGAAGCACCGGCUAACUACGUG
rnacentral:rRNA from 1 species